UCAGCUUGGCGUUUCGGACUUACUCCUUGGCUACGCCUUCCGGGCGCUCCUCUGUAACCCGCGAGCGCGGUGCCCGGGGCGGGCGGUUCCGGCCCCGCGGGCGGCGGCGUGGCGGGUGGGCCGCGCAGGGAGUGCGGCCUGGGCUUGGAAGGCGGGGGAGGGGAACUUUAACCGGCACAGUUCGGAAUCCGGAAUUGCUAGCGCCCCUCUCUGGGCUUUAGGAGGGUCGGGCCGCGAAGGACCCCGGAGCUUAACCUUCAGCACAGACACCAGUAAAGAACAGACUCUCAUGCAGAAGAUGCCAAAUGAAGACAAGAGUCCCUGGAGGAUGAGAAGUCGCGUGGAGGAGAGGUGAGGCACGUCAGCCAACAACCAGCCCUGUUGGCAGAGAUUUAAGGAAAUUCUUUGGGGAGGCCCCUGCAAAGUCCGUCUUCUAAAAUAUGAAUGGUGUUGAUGGAAAAAGCUGAAAAGCUUUUUUUGAACAUGAAUCGGACUACCACCAUGUGGCCAACAGCGUGGCUCUUUUCCCACCAAACCCAGUACCAGAAGGACCAUUAAGAAGAGCUGAGUGGACUUUCAAGCUCCCUGCCCAUCCCUCUGAUGGAGAUGUUAAUGAAUCAACCAAACUGCCAGAAAAGAAGACAGCAGGAAGGAAAGUGAAAACUCAGGAGCCUGGGCCACUGCCAAGCUAGAAAUGCAGACGCUGAGGAAAUGGAAGGUACUGGAGGACUAACGUAAAGGAGCAACCCACAGGCCCACGCCUUGGGAGCACUACAGUUUCCAGAAGGUGGAGGGCCGUCUUAUUUGGCAGUGCUGCCCCACCCAGAUCACGUUCUGUCUCCAGUGUGACCAGCUGGGUGUUCACCUGAGCUGAGCAAGAGUGAGCUGGAACCAGGAGCCUGGCUUUCUGGCUCACAGUACCAAGGUGCAGGCAAUGGACUCGUCCAAGCACUCUCUCCUUACUUGAGCACGAUUUGCUAACAGGAUGAGGAAAGGGAGAGAAAGACAAAGAGUUUGUUUUUUAGGACAACUUUGUAAAUCCCACUGGCCUACAUUUUAUUGGUUUCCUCCUCAUGCUGCUUUCUAUUUGAUCUUUAUCUAUUUUGUUGGUUUAUUAACAUCAUAACAGCAAGGUCUCACAAUCCUUUUGAACCCCGGUGUAGUUUUAAUGAACAUAAAAACUGUCCAUGGUCUCUAAGGGUUAUUUGAAAUUCCAAAAUAAAUAGCAUCGGUGAAACAAAUGCGCAAGUCAUUUUAGAAUAAAGUUUCCGAACAGAUGAAAUAUUUUACGCAGCAAUUUAAUGUCCAUCAGGUUAAAAAGAAAAAAACACCACAAAAAUGCAGUUUGGUUUUUUGAUAGCCCCGUUCCCUGACCCCACCGCCGCCUUUUUUCCUGGGCCCUUUCUG